UUUAUGCGUUACAAUCAAAUCAUAUUUUGAUAAAAUUGAUUUUACUGUUUUUAAAGCAAACCAAGAUUGAUCUUCAACAAAACCAAGAUUAAUCUUCAUCACUGUCAAGAUCAAUCUUGGAUUGUGAUCUUAUUUUUAAAAUAGAAUUUUUAAAAGGGGCAAUUAUAAUUCAAACCCCCCUUCCUUAUAAUUGAUAUUUUUUUACCUUCAGAUAUGUCCUUCAACAACCUUUUGGAGAGCAUUCCACCAGAGACUGGACAGCUGUAGAAUCUUGCAUCUCUAAAUGUCUAACUAUGAAGAGUUUUGUGCUUGAUGUUUUGUGUUUAUUGCUUGUCGGGUAACCCAUUUAUGUUGCAGUAAAUGAUGCUAAUGUACAUGGUUUGUGAUGUUUUGUGUACCUUUUCAUCCUUAUAUUCCAAAAUCAAGAGAGAUUUUUUCUAGAGUUGCAGUUGUAAUUCUUGCUCUUGGUGUCAUCAUGUUACUGGCUAUGGUAAUUGUAACUAUCUAUAGAACCCGCCAAUCCAAGCAGUUGAUUAAAGGAUCUAGCAGGACAGGGCUAGGUAUGAUGGAUGGUUGAGUUCUACUUGGAUAGUAACGUCAAACUAGCUUUUUCUGACUUGAUUUUGGUUAAUAUGUCUAUUUUUUCGGGGGCCCCUAAACUUGUAAUUCUUCAUAUGGAUUUGGCAUUCACACUUUGGAGCCUAUAGUUUUGUUCAACUCAGUGUCAGUUGGUAUAUGCAUAUAGUAACAUUUCGUCUAUUGUUUAGUUAUAAAAUUAGAAAAACCAUUAAACAGUGAUGGAGUGUUCAAUUUUUUUUACAUAUUCAAAAGAGAUUCAAUUUCUCUUUGGUUUGUCUCGGGAUGGUUUAACUCCACUUGACCGUUGCCUUUACUCUGGUCAAAGUAUCAGACUAUAUGAGAUAAUCAAGUUGUUGAAGCGGCCUCAAAGACAUGCUAGAAAUGCGCGACAAAUCGAGCAAAUAAACAAUACAUCUUUUGAAGAUUUAGACUAACAAAUGAAGAAUAGCCCUUGCUAAGUUUUGCAUGGCAGGAAAAAUGGCGACACGGACCAAAGAAAAUAAUAUGUCACGCCGUCGAAAGUUUCUGCUUCUGCAGAUUUCGUGAUUGCAGCAGACAAUGAAAUCUUUGGUCAAGGACGGGAAAUACUAGUAAUCAUUCAAGUGAUUUGGUUGUGUUAAUUCAUAUGAAUCUUUUUGUUUUAAUUUUGAUUGUUAAUAUUAUUAUUAUUAUUAUUAUUAUUAUCUUUUAUGUAUACUCAGACUUGUGAUUUGUUUGUGUUUUUAUGUUAAGUAUAUAAUGUAUUGUCAACAUAGUUGGUGCCAUCAUGUGACUCCUUGGGUCCGAGCAUGUUCAAUUUUAUUUUGUCUAUAAUUACAUUAGUAUUUUGGUUCUACUUAUUUGAUGUGACGAUGCUACGAUGCAAUUGAUAUUUAAUUGAUUUUUUAGUUGCUAUAACGAAGGAAGUAUGAAAUUUAGUUAAAUUUUGAAUAUGACUUAUUAGAUUGGUUCAAAUUUAAUCGAUGUAAUAAAUCAAUUUUGAAUUUGACUUGUUAGAUUGGUUCAAAUUUAACUAAUGUAAUAAAUUAUUUAUGAAUUUUGACUUGUUACAUCUGUCAUUUUAGCCGAUUUAAUAAUUAACUAUUUAUUACAACACUUGAUGUUAGAUUGGACAAGCAAUCGAUCUAACAUGUACAUAGGAACCGAUGUAAUAAUUGCACUAGUAGUAGUUAGUAUCUUUUAUAUUUUAAUUUUGUUCUAUGCAUAUGAGUUUGCAAAACCAAUACGCCAUUAUCAAAUAUAUUUCAAAAAAAAGUUUAUUUGUUUUAGGCUUUUAACAAAAAAACAUGUACGAGGAGCAUUCUAGAGUUUAGACUCUUCGAUCACCAUUUUUGAAUUGUCUUUGUCCACAAAAGACCAUCACAAGUACUUUUGAGCUGUAUUCAUCAUGUUAUUCUCUGUUGAAGUUGCUAUGAUCCAAAUUCUAUUGCAUUAUCUGGGAUUCUGGUUUGUGAGUCAUUGUGCUCAUACACUCUUGUUGCAUAUUUGAAUCUAAUUUGCGUGUAUCUUUUUCACACAGUGACACAAUGGAACAAAAGAAAGGAUUGGAAGUGCUUGUGGUGAAAGCUUUCACUAGCUGAUUUUACCAUGUUGAUGUUUCCACCAUUUUGAGUUUUAACUAUUUUGAAAUUGAGUUUGUAAUAGAAGCAAUUCUACACACUAAACAGGGACAAUUCUGAAAUGUUUGCAGGCCUUUUACCAAACAAUGAAGUUAUUUGAGUUUUAGCAAUCUUUUAAUCAUUGCAGUAGAUGGCAAGGUACCCCAAAACAUAAGUAUUAUAUGUAGUUUGUUGAAGUAAUUUCAUUCAGAUUUGAAA